rnacentral:tRNA from 5 species
GGACUCAUGGUCUAGGGGUUAUGACGUCGCCUUCACACGGCGGAGGUCGCCGGUUCAAAUCCGGCUGGGUCCACCA